rnacentral:rRNA from 1 species
UACGUAGGGUGCAAGCGUUUGUCCGGAAUUAUUGGGCGUAAAGAGCUCGUAGGCGGUCUGUCGCGUCUGCUGUGAAAACUCAGGGCUUAACCCUGAGCUUGCAGUGGGUACGGGCAGACUAGAGUGCGGUAGGGGAGACUGGAAUUCCUGGUGUAGCGGUGAAAUGCGCAGAUAUCAGGAGGAACACCGGUGGCGAAGGCGGCUCACUGGUCCGGUACUGACGCUGAGGCGCGAAAGCCGUGGGGAGCGAACAGG